GACGAACGCUGGCGGCGUGCUUAACACAUGCAAGUCGAACGGAAAGGCCCUGCUUUGUGGGGUGCUCGAGUGGCGAACGGGUGAGUAACACGUGAGUAACCUGCCCUUGACUUUGGGAUAACUUCAGGAAACUGGGGCUAAUACCGGAUAGGAGCUCCUGCUGCAUGGUGGGGGUUGGAAAGUUUCGGCGGUUGGGGAUGGACUCGCGGCUUAUCAGCUUGUUGGUGGGGUAGUGGCUUACCAAGGCUUUGACGGGUAGCCGGCCUGAGAGGGUGACCGGCCACAUUGGGACUGAGAUACGGCCCAGACUCCUACGGGAGGCAGCAGUGGGGAAUAUUGCACAAUGGGCGGAAGCCUGAUGCAGCAACGCCGCGUGCGGGAUGACGGCCUUCGGGUUGUAAACCGCUUUCGCCUGUGACGAAGCGUGAGUGACGGUAAUGGGUAAAGAAGCACCGGCUAACUACGUGCCAGCAGCCGCGGUGAUACGUAGGGUGCGAGCGUUGUCCGGAUUUAUUGGGCGUAAAGGGCUCGUAGGUGGUUGAUCGCGUCAGAAGUGUAAUCUUGGGGCUUAACCCUGAGCGUGCUUUCAAUACGGGUUGACUUGAAGAAGGGUAGGGGAGAAUGGAAUUCCUGGUGGAGCGGUGGAAUGCGCAGAUAUCAGGAGGAACACCAGUGGCGAAGGCGGUUCUCUGGGCCUUUCCUGACGCUGAGGAGCGAAAGCGUGGGGAGCGAACAGGCUUAGAUACCCUGGUAGUCCACGCUGUAAACGGUGGGUACUAGGUGUGGGGUCCAUUCCACGGGUUCCGUGCCGUAGCUAACGCUUUAAGUACCCCGCCUGGGGAGUACGGCCGCAAGGCUAAAACUCAAAGGAAUUGACGGGGCCCCGCACAAGCGGCGGAGCAUGCGGAUUAAUUCGAUGCAACGCGUAGAACCUUACCUGGGUUUGACAUGGAUCGGGAGUGCUCAGAGAUGGGUGUGCCUCUUUUGGGGUCGGUUCACAGGUGGUGCAUGCCUGUCGUCAGCUCGUGUCGUGAGAUGUUGGGUUAAGUCCCGCAACGAGCGCAACCCUUGUUCACUGUUGCCAGCACGUUAUGGUGGGGACUCAGUGGAGACCGCCGGGGUCAACUCGGAGGAAGGUGGGGAUGACGUCAAGUCAUCAUGCCCCUUAUGUCCAGGGCUUCACGCAUGCUACAAUGGCUGGUACAGAGAGUGGCGAGCCUGUGAGGGUGAGCGAAUCUCGGAAAGCCGGUCUCAGUUCGGAUUGGGGUCUGCAACUCGACCUCAUGAAGUCGGAGUCGCUAGUAAUCGCAGAUCAGCAACGCUGCGGUGAAUACGUUCCCGGG
rnacentral:rRNA from 1 species